rnacentral:tRNA from 1 species
CAAAGAAUAUUUUAAAUAAAAUAAUAAUUUUGGAGAUUAUAGAUAAAGAUAUAUUCUUUUUCUUUGA